GGAGAGAUGCCUAAAUCAAUUCAAAUUUCUAUCUCCCUCAAACAAAUAACAAGGAAACAGAAGAGAAACUCCAAACCUACAAAGCAAUGGGACACGGUGAGAAAGGCCGGCGCAAUAAAAAACUCAAAGUCUCUGCCAAGGAAAGCACACACGUGGAAAACGAUGACGGCUAUUACAGCGGUCGUGAAGAAGAUGACAAUGUCCGCCAUGGUGAAAGGAAAACGAGAGACUUUACCAAACUAGAAUUGAAGCCUGACCACCCUAAUCGGCCUUUAUGGGCUUGUCCAGAUGGCCGGAUAUUCCUGGAAACUUUCUCGGCUUUGUACAAACAAGCUUAUGAUUUCCUCAUUGCCAUUGCGGAACCCGUUUGCAGGCAAGAGUGGAUGCACGAGUAUAACUUGACCCCGCAUUCUUUAUAUGCGGCUGUCUCAGUUGGCCUUGAAACCGAAACAAUUAUUUCUGUUCUAAAUAAGCUGUCAAAGACCAAGCUCCCCAAAGAGAUUAUUGAUUUCAUACAUGGUUCUACUGCUAAUUAUGGCAAAGUGAAGCUCGUGCUUAAGAAGAAUCGGUAUUUUGUCGAGUCGCCAUAUCCAGAGGUACUGAAGACAUUGCUUAAGGACAACUUUAUUGCAGAAUCAAGGAUUACUCCUGAGGGUCCUCAUGGAAAUGAAGAUUUUACAAUUAGCACAACGAUGGGUGAAAUUGGAGCUGGUCCUAGUGAUUUGCUAAAUGAAGCAGAACUGGCAGCUGUGGCUGAAGAAAAAGAAACUCAUGCAUUUGAAAUUGAUCCUUCAAAGGUUGAGAAUGUUAAGCAACGUUGCUUGCCAGAUUCUUUGAACUAUCCUAUGUUGGAGGAGUAUGACUUCAAAAAUGAUACAGUUAACCCUGAUCUUGAUAUGGAACUAAAGCCUCAAGCGCAACCCCGACCGUAUCAAGAGAAGAGCUUGAGUAAAAUGUUUGGGAAUGGGAGGGCAAGAUCUGGCAUUAUUGUACUGCCUUGUGGUGCUGGAAAAUCUCUAGUUGGUGUUUCUGCAGCCUCUCGAAUAAGAAAGAGCUGCCUUUGUUUAGCAACAAAUGCCGUUUCCGUUGAUCAGUGGGCUUUUCAGUUUAAGUUGUGGUCAACUAUCCGAGAUGACCAAAUUUGUCGUUUCACAUCUGAUAGUAAAGAAAGAGUCCGUGGAAAUGCUGGGGUGGUUGUGACAACAUAUAACAUGAUUGGUUUUGGUGGAAAGAGGUCCGAAGAAUCUGAAAAGAUUAUUGAAGAAAUAAGAAACAGAGAAUGGGGAUUGCUUCUUAUGGAUGAGGUGCAUGUUGUUCCUGCUGAAAUGUUUCGAAAUGUCAUCAAAUUUACUAAAUCACAUUGCAAGCUUGGGCUCACGGCCACACUGGUGAGAGAGGAUGAGAAAAUCACAGAUCUGAACUUCCUUAUUGGUCCCAAAUUGUAUGAAGCAAACUGGUUGGAUUUGGUUAAAGGCGGAUUUAUUGCUAAUGUACAGUGUGCUGAAGUAUGGUGUCCUAUGACAAAAGAGUUUUUCCUGGAAUAUUUGAAGAGGGAAAACUCAAAGAAAAAGCAGGCACUUUAUGUAAUGAAUCCAAAUAAGUUUAGGGCAUGCGAGUUUCUUAUACGGUUUCAUGAAGAGCACCGUGGUGAUAAAAUUAUUGUAUUUGCCGAUAAUCUAUUUGCACUUACAGAGUAUGCAAUGAAACUUCGGAAACCUAUGAUCUAUGGUGCUACCAGCCAUGCUGAGAGGACAAAAAUUCUACAAGCUUUCAAAACAAGUCGGGACGUAAACACCGUAUUCCUGUCUAAGGUGGGUGAUAAUUCCAUAGACAUUCCUGAGGCAAAUGUGAUUAUUCAGAUCUCAUCACAUGCUGGUUCAAGACGUCAAGAAGCACAGCGUCUUGGACGUAUUUUGAGGGCUAAGGGUAGACCUCAGGAUCGGAUUGCAGGAGGUAAAGAGGAGUACAAUGCGUUCUUUUAUUCUCUUGUGUCGACUGAUACUCAGGAGAUGUACUUUUCAACUAAACGCCAGCAGUUUUUGAUUGAUCAAGGUUAUAGUUUUAAGGUUAUUACAAGCUUGCCCCCUCCUGAAUCAGGAUCUGAUUUGAGCUAUCACCGUCUUGAUGACCAACUGGCACUACUUUCAAAGGUGUUGAGUGUUGGUGAUGAUAAAGUUGGCUUAGAGACACUAGAAGAAGACCCUGAUGAGAUUGCCCUUCAGAAAGCACGUCGCUCAACAGGAUCCAUGACUUUGAUGUCAGGCGCCAAGGGGAUGGUUUACAUGGAAUAUAGUACUGAAACGCAGAAACACAAGCAUGGCAAAGCACAGAUUAAGAGUACUAAGCCCAGGGAUCCGGCAAAGAGACAUUAUUUGUUUAAACAACGCCGUGGCUGAGAACAGGAAGGAUAAAGUAAAUAAUCAUCAGUGAAAGUCAUGCUUUGAUAUAUAUGAACAAGCAUCUGCUAUUAUUAGAAGUGGAAAUCUCUAGGGCGUCCAGAGUUUACAACAUCAAAUCGGAGAGCAUUAGAGGCGCUCCUCAGCAAAGUGGUCCUUUCAAAACCAUCUAAAUUAAGUUCUAUGGCAUAGAUUUAAUACAGCAUCUGGUACAAAGUUGGCCUCUCUUAACACAUGAUUGGAAGUGAUAGAUGAGAAGCUAGUUGCUAAUUGCCGGAUAUCUUGGAUAAUCUUGCUGAUCCUCCAAGGGGGGUGGAUUUUGCUCAAUAACUAACUUUGAGUCUCCUUCUGCCUAUAUGUGUGUGAAGUCUUGUUGC